rnacentral:misc_RNA from 1 species
CGUUGUUGCAUCAAAAUCAGAUAACAAUGGAGGCGAUGAACCCCUUUUGCUUGGCAAUGGUGUGUUGAAACGCGAUUGGCGUUUUGUUUGGACAAGCGAAGGUUCCAGAUCUCCGUCUUCACUGGCUGCAUCAAUUUCACUAUCUACUUCACCUUUAAAAACUGGGUGGAUAUAAGCAUUCUGAAGGAACUCUUUCAAGUUGAAGUUUG